UACGGGGGUGCGAGCGUUGUCCGGAAUCACUGGGCGUAAAGGGCGCGUAGGUGGUUUGAUAAGGGUGUGGUGAAAGUCCGGGCUCAACCUCGGAUCGGCCGUGGCGACUCGUGGCUGGAGCACUGUAGAGGCGGUGGAAUUCCGGUGUAGCGGUGAAAUGCGUAGAUACUGGGAGGAACACCAGUGGCGAAGGCGGCUACCUGGACCGGUUCUGACGCUGAUGCGCGAAAGCGUGGUAGCAAACAGG
rnacentral:rRNA from 1 species